rnacentral:rRNA from 1 species
AUACGGAGGAUCCAAGCGUUAUCCGGAAUCAUUGGGUUUAAAGGGUCCGUAGGUGGAUAAUUAAGUCAGAGGUGAAAUCCUGCAGCUCAACUGUAGCAUUGCCUUUGAUACUGGUUAUCUUGAGUUAUUAUGAAGUAGUUAGAAUAUGUAGUGUAGCGGUGAAAUGCAUAGAUAUUACAUAGAAUACCGAUUGCGAAGGCAGAUUACUAAUAAUAUACUGACACUGAGGGACGAAAGCGUGGGGAGCGAACAGGAUUAGAAACCCGAGUAGUCC